GCCCCGGUAGCUCAGAUGGAUAGAGCACAGGUUUCCUAAACCUGGUGUCGCGCGUUCGACUCGCGCCCGGGGUAC
rnacentral:tRNA from 1 species